CAAAAGUUUGGUCCUAACUUCACUAUCAAUUUUUACUAAAUUUACACAUGCAAGUAUCCGCAUUCCCGUGAGAUCUCCUUAGGUUUUCUUUUGAAUCCUAAGAAAUGAUAUCAGGCACAAUAAUUUUUUAGCCCAAAACACCUGGCUUAGCCACACCCCCAAGGGAAUUCAGCAGUGAAAAAUAUUAAGCUAUAAGCGAAAGCUUGACUUAGUUAUAGUUUUUAGGGCCGGUAAAACUCGUGCCAGCCACCGCGGUUAUACGAGAGGCUCAAAUUGAUCAUAAUCGGCGUAAAGCGUGUUUUAAGUAAAAUUAAACUAAAGUAGAAUCCACCCAAAACUGUCAUACGUGGUUGGGUGAAAGAAAAACUUUCACGAAAGUAACUUUAAAUAUCUUGAAUACACGAAAGCUGUGAAACAAACUGGGAUUAGAUACCCCACUAUGCACAGCCUUAAACCUUAAUAUAGACACACACUUAUAUUCGCCAGGGUACUACGAGCACGAGCUUAAAACCCAAAGGACUUGGCGGUGCUUUAGCCCCACCUAGAGGAGCCUGUUCUAUAACCGAUAACCCCCGUUAAACCUUACCUUUUCUUGUUUAUCCCGCCUAUAUACCGCCGUCGUCAGCUUACCCUGUGAAGGUAAAUAAGUAAGCAAUAUUGAUAAAAUCCAAAACGUCAGGUCGAGGUGUAGCAUAUGAAAAGGAAAGAAAUGGGCUACAUUUCCUAUUUUAGGACAUACGGAAAAUAUUAUGAAAAACAACAUCAAGGAGGAUUUAGUAGUAAGAAGGAAACAGAGUGUCCUACUGAAACUGGCCCUGAAGCACGCACACACCGCCCGUCACUCUCCCCAAACUAAAGUAACCAAUAUAUAAUAAAAGAUUAGAAUGAAGGGGAGGCAAGUCGUAACAUGGUAAGUAUACCGGAAGGUGUACUUGGCUAACC
rnacentral:ncRNA from 1 species